GACAGAAGAGCACUGAGCUUCCUCUUCUUCCUCCUCUCAGCCAUCUCUUCAGCUGCAACACGAGAGAGGAAACUUUGUAAGAGGGUUGUCAGCGCCCUCGGGUGGCGAGUCGUCGCUGUCGUCCUCCCACGACGAGGAGGUGAACCCUGCGGGGGCGGAGAUGGAGUGCGGCGCGGAGGUGUGGCCGAGGCCUUGGUACCGCCCGCUCGAGGAAGGGGAGGAGGGCAUCGAUGCGGCGGCCACGGCGAUGGCGUCCUGAGAGGUCGCUGUGAGAAGGCCGGUGUGCUCUGUGUGUUCGGGUCGAGCCGCGGCACCAAAGUACAUCUUGUUGGGACGACCUAGGAAGCUCCCAGAUGCAGAGCGGCAGCACGGCCACCAGCAGGAGAGCGUAAAGAACCAGGACCAGCGGGCGGAUCCACCGCCGCCACUCUGAGCAGGAACACGGCAUGACGACCCUCAGCGUUCACUACUGACACAUCUUAACCCCGCAGGCCGCACCUGGAGGACCAGAAGUCAGGUUACUGCACUGGUUUAGACCGCCAAGACGUUCAACACUCAUGGUUUUUGAUACUACGUGUUUUUAAAACGAUACAAUCUCAGUUAUUUGAAUUAUGAGAGGAUUGAAAAGAGCUUUAAAAAGACGUCAGAUCUUCCGUCAUUUUUUUAAACCCAAAGCUGCAAUGUCUGCUCGUUGCAGAUUCACAAGAGUCAAAUACACUGAAAUGAGCCAGUGUAUUUCAGUGUUACAGUGUGAAGGAGCUUGUUAGCAAUCUGAAUAAUAAAAAACAAUAAAUUCCCCA